GAGUUUGAUCAUGGCUCAGAGUGAACGCUGGCGGCAGGCCUAACACAUGCAAGUCGAACGGCAGCGCAGCAGUAGCAAUACUGUGGGCGGCGAGUGGCGGACGGGUGAGGAAUACAUCGGAAUCUACCUUGUCGUGGGGGAUAACGUAGGGAAACUUACGCUAAUACCGCAUACGACCUACGGGUGAAAGCGGCGGACCGCAAGGCGUCGCGCGAUUGGAUGAGCCGAUGUCCGAUUAGCUAGUUGGCGGGGUAAAGGCCCACCAAGGCGAUGAUCGGUAGCUGGUCUGAGAGGAUGAUCAGCCACACUGGAACUGAGACACGGUCCAGACUCCUACGGGAGGCAGCAGUGGGGAAUAUUGGACAAUGGGCGCAAGCCUGAUCCAG
rnacentral:rRNA from 1 species